GCACACCGCCGAAGCCGCGGCAGCACACAUCUGUGUGCUGGGUAGGGGAGCGUCCUGCAUCCGGUGAAGCAGCAGAGUGAUCUAGCUGUGGAGGGUGUGGGAGUGAGAAUGCAGGCAUGAGUAGCGAGAAGGCAAGUGAGAACCUUGCCCGCCGAAAGACCAAGGGUUCCUGGGCCAGGCCAGUCCGCCCAGGGUGAGUCGGGACCUAAGGCGAGGCCGACAGGCGUAGUCGAUGGACAACGGGUUGAUAUUCCC
rnacentral:rRNA from 1 species